rnacentral:tRNA from 1 species
CAGGGCAGAGCUUGCUAUGAGCGUUUUAUUUACACUAAAGGGGUAACUGUGAAAUUCAGUUUGCCUUGA